rnacentral:sRNA from 2 species
CAAAUAGAGCGCUAGGGUUCCGAUUUCAAACACUUGAAAUGCUGGUCCGAGAGCACUCAACCUUCACUGAAGGUCACACACGGCGGGACAAAAACCCGGGAGAA